UACGGAGGGGGCUAGCGUUGUUCGGAAUUACUGGGCGUAAAGCGCACGUAGGCGGUUCAGCUAGUCAGAGGUGAAAUCCCCAGGCUCAACCUGGGAAUUGCCUUUGAUACUGCUGGACUAGAGGCCGGGAGAGGGUAGUGGAAUUCCCAGUGUAGAGGUGAAAUUCGUAGAUAUUGGGAAGAACACCGGUGGCGAAGGCGGCUACCUGGACCGGUACUGACGCUGAGGUGCGAAAGCGUGGGGAGCAAACAGG
rnacentral:rRNA from 1 species